rnacentral:lncRNA from 1 species
AUCUGGAGCAAUUUAAUGUGCAUGCAUUCGUGGCCACAAAAAUGAAGAUACAAAUAAGUAGGUGAUUAAUUUUUAUUAAAAUCUGAUGAUUUUCUAUAGAAAUAAAUUCAAAUCUAUUAAGUAUAUAACUUCAGGCUAGUGUCAUAAUGCAUUCAAUUUUUGUCUGCAAAAUCUGCUCGUGCACAUCUUUGUUCAAAGAACCACUUGCUACUUAGUGACCUUAACUGAAACAUUAAUUGUUUUGUGUGCCCAAAUUUAAUAGAACCUGGCUAUCAGGGAUGAUGUCACAAAGAACAUUGUUAUUGAAAUGCCAGGAGUUUGUUCUAGGUCCUGCUGUUCACUAAACAAAAAGCCAAUCACUGAGACAAUGAGUAUUGCCAGGGAAGAAGCCUUUAAUUGGGUGCUGCGGCCUGGGAGAUGGGAGAUCAGUCUCCAAUCCAUCUCCCUGGCCAACUAAAAUUAGGGAUUUAUGUGACAGGAAGAAAAGUAACCAUGUAUAGGAAAACAGGAAUUAGGGAGGGGUAAUGAAGCAGAGUUCAUCAAUAGGAAGCAGAUGGUUGGUUAGUUAAUAAUGGCAGGCGAGGGAUAUAACAUCUCAUUGUCCAGCUGUGUUGAUCUGGUGCUGGAUAUUAGACCUUCGUCAGACACAUAGACCAGUGGAACAGAAUAGAGAACCCAGAAAUUAGAUCACUCAUCUUCAACCAUCCAAUCUUCGACAAACCUG